GUUUGAUCCUGGCUCAGGAUGAACGCUAGCGGCAGGCCUAACACAUGCAAGUCGAGGGGCAGCACAAAGAUAGUUUACUAUUUUGGUGGCGACCGGCGCACGGGUGAGUAACGCGUAUGCAACCUACCUUAUACAGGAGUAUAGCCCGAAGAAAUUCGGAUUAAUCCUCCAUAGUAUUUUCUAAUGGCAUCAUUUGGAAAAUUAAAGCUUCGGCGGUAUAAGAUGGGCAUGCGUCCUAUUAGCUAGAUGGUAAGGUAACGGCUUACCAUGGCAACGAUAGGUAGGGGCCCUGAGAGGGGGAUCCCCCACACUGGUACUGAGACACGGACCAGACUCCUACGGGAGGCAGCAGUGAGGAAUAUUGGACAAUGGAGGCAACUCUGAUCCAGCCAUGCCGCGUGCAGGAAGACUGCCCUAUGGGUUGUAAACUGCUUUUAUACAGGAAGAAACACCUCUACGUGUAGAGGCUUGACGGUACUGUAAGAAUAAGGAUCGGCUAACUCCGUGCCAGCAGCCGCGGUAAUACGGAGGAUCCAAGCGUUAUCCGGAAUCAUUGGGUUUAAAGGGUCCGUAGGUGGAUAAUUAAGUCAGAGGUGAAAUCUUGCAGCUCAACUGUAAAAUUGCCUUUGAAACUGGUUAUCUUGAGUUAUUAUGAAGUAGUUAGAAUAUGUAGUGUAGCGGUGAAAUGCAUAGAUAUUACAUAGAAUACCAAUUGCGAAGGCAGAUUACUAAUAAUCAACUGACACUGAUGGACGAAAGCGUGGGUAGCGAACAGGAUUAGAUACCCUGGUAGUCCACGCCGUAAACG
rnacentral:rRNA from 1 species